rnacentral:miRNA from 1 species
UCCUUUCUACCUCCUUUCUUUGUAUUUGGCUAAUAUAUAUAUAUAUAUAUAUAUAUAUAUAUAUAUAUACGGCUGCAAUUAGCCAAAUACAAAGAAAGGAGGUAAAAAACU